CUUGAGUCAGUGGGCUGAAUCAGGGU
rnacentral:piRNA from 1 species